rnacentral:tRNA from 1 species
GGGGGUUUAGCUCAGUGGCACAAGCACCUGCUUGGCAAGCACACGGUCCUGAGUUCAAUCCCCAGUACUCUCG